AUGUGGUCUCCACAAGUGGGGAAACACCCCAAAGGACCCCCAACCGCACAUCACAAUGGUAGCUCAGCCGCCACUCAAGUUCGACAAAGAACAACCAGCACACCUUUGCAAGCACCCCGCACCUCCACCAGUUUGAAGUUGCAACCCUCUAAACGCCCAGAUUUUGCGACCACCGGUAGCAGCUCCGCCAGGCUAUGCACUCUCUACGUUCAACCCACCAUCCAUAUCCGUUUUUUUAGUUUGUUUUACAAGAAUAAGAUCCCGCGAGUGACUCACGACAACCAACACACAUGGCCAGCCUCCGACAACAUCAACCAACACGAGACCAAUCGCGCUACCGCCGUAGCCGCGAACUCCGACGACUUCCAGGUCUGCACAAUUAUCAAGUAA